rnacentral:sRNA from 1 species
UUUUCUUCAUUUUGGGAACAAAUAGUUCGACAAAAACAAUGUAUGCAAUUCACAGAAAAUGUUCUUCUUUUUUUUUUUUUUUUAUAAUUUUUUAGUUAUUUCAAAUUUGAAUUUUUAUUUAUUUAUUUUUUCACUUCUUGUUCAACAUUUUUUUUGUUUUUUUUUUUUUUUCAAGCAGACUCAUAUUUCGAGAUCAUUAGAAAUAUUAAUACUGCAAAUCCUGCAAAUAUUAUUUUGUUGAUAUUUUUAUUUUUCAGUAGUUACAACUUGUUGAAUUUUCCCCAUUCCCAGAUAUAUUGCAUUAUGUUAUAUAUUUUUACAACCAGUUGUUGGAGGUAAUUGUUAUUAAGACCUAGUUUUCUGUAUUGGGACUGAUAACAGUUUGUUCCUUUGUCUUUGUUGACUCCAAUUGUUACUGAUCAAUCUAUUUUUCUUUCUCCUUUAUAUCUAUAUCAAACAGUCCUCUGGUUAUUUUUCUGUGUGUGUCUUUUGUUGAGUGUUUCUGUUAGCAUAAUAUAGACCACCAUAUACUAGUAUAUAUUGUAUGUAAAAGGGUGUGUGUUUAUUUAAUUAAAAAAUAAUUAC